rnacentral:rRNA from 1 species
CUAAUACAUGCAAGUAGAACGCUGAAGAGAGGAGCUUGCUCUUCUUGGAUGAGUUGCGAACGGGUGAGUAACGCGUAGGUAACCUGCCUUGUAGCGGGGGAUAACUAUUGGAAACGAUAGCUAAUACCGCAUAACAAUGGAUGACACAUGUCAUUUAUUUGAAAGGGGCAAUUGCUCCACUACAAGAUGGACCUGCGUUGUAUUAGCUAGUAGGUGAGGUAACGGCUCACCUAGGCGACGAUACAUAGCCGACCUGAGAGGGUGAUCGGCCACACUGGGACUGAGACACGGCCCAGACUCCUACGGGAGGCAGCAGUAGGGAAUCUUCGGCAAUGGGGGCAACCCUGACCGAGCAACGCCGCGUGAGUGAAGAAGGUUUUCGGAUCGUAAAGCUCUGUUGUAAGUCAAGAACGAGUGUGAGAGUGGAAAGUUCACACUGUGACGGUAGCUUACCAGAAAGGGACGGCUAACUACGUGCCAGCAGCCGCGGUAAUACGUAGGUCCCGAGCGUUGUCCGGAUUUAUUGGGCGUAAAGCGAGCGCAGGCGGUUUGAUAAGUCUGAAGUUAAAGGCUGUGGCU